UACAGAGGGGGCAAGCGUUGUUCGGAAUUACUGGGCGUAAAGGGCGCGUAGGCGGCCUGCUAAGUCGCACGUGAAAUCCCCGGGCUCAACCCGGGAACUGCGUCCGAUACUGGCAGGCUUGAAUCCGGGAGAGGGAUGUGGAAUUCCAGGUGUAGCGGUGAAAUGCGUAGAUAUCUGGAGGAACACCGGUGGCGGAGGCGGCAUCCUGGACCGGCAUUGACGCUGAGGCGCGAAAGCCAGGGGAGCAAACGGG
rnacentral:rRNA from 1 species